AGUUAAUUCUAUGGUCAAGCUACUAAGGGCGCACGGUGGAUGCCUUGGCAGAAACAGGCGAUGAAGGACGUGGCAAGCUGCGAUAAGCUUCGGUAAGCCGCACACAGGCGUUAUAACCGGAGAUCUCCGAAUGGGGAAACCCUCCCGAGCAAACCUCGGGAACUACCCGCUGAAUUCAUAGGCGGGCUAGAGCGAACUCAGGGAAGUGAACCAUCUCAGUACCUGAAGGAAAAGAAAGAAACCUCGAUUCCGAUAGUAGUGGCGAGCGAACUCGGAAUAGCCCAAACCCGUAGCAUUUCGGUGCUUCGGGGGUUGUAGGGUCCGCAACAGUAGAGUUACCAAUCUGGCCGCUAGCUGAAUCCUCUGGAAAGUGGAUCCAAAGAGCGUGACAGGCGCGUAGGCGAAAGUGGUCCAGACUCGAAGCGGAUACCUGAGUAAGGCGGGGCACGUGAAACCCUGCUUGAAUCCACGGGGACCAUCCCGUAAGGCUAAAUACUCGUUUCUGACCGAUAGUGAACCAGUACCGUGAGGGAAAGGCGAAAAGAACCCCGUCGAGGGGAGUGCAAAGUACCUGAAACCGUGUGCCUACAAGCAGUGGGAGGGCUAUGCCCGCAAGGGAAUGCCUGACCGCGUGCCUAUUGCAUAAUGAGCCG
rnacentral:rRNA from 1 species